AAAGAGAGAAGACCCCUUGUAGACGACAAGGUGGAUCGGUCCGGCGUGGAAGUCCCGUGAGGGAUGCAGCGGACGGAUACGAAUCGGUCGAGGACGUCUCCUG
rnacentral:rRNA from 1 species